AUCGAACGCUGGCGGCAUGCUUUACACAUGCAAGUCGAACGGUAACAGGCCGCAAGGUGCUGCCGAGUGGCGAACGGGUAAGUAAUGCAUCGGAACGUGCCCAGUCGUGGGGGAUAACUACUCGAAAGAGUAGCUAAUACCGCAUACGAUCUAUGGAUGAAAGCGGGGGACCGUACGCCCUCGCGCGAUUGGAGCGGCCGAGGUCAGAUUAGGUAGUUGGUGGGGUAAAGGUGCUCGAAGCCAAGGGUCUGUACCGGGUCUGAGAGGACGGCCAGCCACACGGGGAGUGAGGAAGAGCCCAGACACCUGCGGGGGGCAGCGGUGGGGAAUUUUGGGCGAUGGGGGAGAGCGGGAUCCAGCAAUGCCGCGUGCAGGAAGAAGGCCUUCGGGUGGGGAACUGAUGUUGUACGGAGCGAAGCGGCUCUGGUUAAUACCCGAGGCUAAUGACGGUACCGUAAGAAUAAGCCCCGGCUAACUACGUG
rnacentral:rRNA from 1 species